GAUGAACGCUAGCUACAGGCUUAACACAUGCAAGUCGAGGGGAAACGGCAUUAAGUGCUUGCACUUUUUGGACGUCGACCGGCGCACGGGUGAGUAACGCGUAUCCAACCUUCCCAUGACUAAGGGAUAACCUGCCGAAAGGCAGACUAAUACCUUAUGGUCUUCACUGACGGCAUCAGAUGUGAAGUAAAGAUUUAUCGGUUAUGGAUGGGGAUGCGUCUGAUUAGCUUGUUGGCGGGGUAACGGCCCACCAAGGCAACGAUCAGUAGGGGUUCUGAGAGGAAGGUCCCCCACAUUGGAACUGAGACACGGUCCAAACUCCUACGGGAGGCAGCAGUGAGGAAUAUUGGUCAAUGGGCGAGAGCCUGAACCAGCCAAGUAGCGUGCAGGAUGACGGCCCUAUGGGUUGUAAACUGCUUUUGUAUGGGGAUAAAGUCAAUCACGUGUGAUUGUUUGCAGGUACCAUACGAAUAAGGACCGGCUAAUUCCGUGCCAGCAGCCGCGGUAAUACGGAAGGUCCGGGCGUUAUCCGGAUUUAUUGGGUUUAAAGGGAGCGUAGGCUGGAGAUUAAGUGUGUUGUGAAAUGUAGACGCUCAACGUCUGACUUGCAGCGCAUACUGGUUUCCUUGAGUACGCACAACGUUGGCGGAAUUCGUCGUGUAGCGGUGAAAUGCUUAGAUAUGACGAAUAACUCCGAUUGCGAAGGCAGCUGACGGGAGCGCAACUGACGCUGAAGCUCGAAGGUGCGGGUAUCGAACAGGG
rnacentral:rRNA from 1 species